rnacentral:rRNA from 2 species
AAGCCACAUGGCUUUUGUUUGAAAGAUGGCUUUGGCUAUCACUCUGGGAUGGACCUGCGGUGCAUUAGCUAGUUGGUAAGGUAACGGCUUACCAAGGCGAUGAUGCAUAGCCGAGUUGAGAGACUGAUCGGCCACAAUGGAACUGAGACACGGUCCAUACUCCUACGGGAGGCAGCAGUAGGGAAUCUUCCACAAUGGGCGCAAGCCUGAUGGAGCAACACCGCGUGAGUGAAGAAGGGUUUCGGCUCGUAAAGCUCUGUUGUUGGAGAAGAACGUGCGUGAGAGUAACUGUUCACGCAGUGACGGUAUCCAACCAGAAAGUCACGGCUAACUACGUGCCAGCAGCCGCGGUAAUACGUAGGUGGCAAGCGUUAUCCGGAUUUAUUGGGCGUAAAGCGAGCGCAGGCGGUUGUUUAGGUCUGAUGUGAAAGCCUUCGGCUUAACCGAAGAAGUGCAUCGGAAACCGGGCGACUUGAGUGCAGAAGAGGACAGUGGAACUCCAUGUGUAGCGGUGGAAUGCGUAGAUAUAUGGAAGAACACCAGUGGCGAAGGCGGCUGUCUGGUCUGCAACUGACGCUGAGGCUCGAAAGCAUGGGUAGCGAACAGGAUUAGAUACCCUGGUAGUCCAUGCCGUAAACGAUGAGUGCUAGGUGUUGGAGGGUUUCCGCCCUUCAGUGCCGGAGCUAACGCAUUAA